AUCCCGACUUACCAACCCGAUGCAAACUGCGAAUACCGGAGAAUGUUAUCACGGGAGACACACGGCGGGUGCUAACGUCCGUCGUGAAGAGGGAAACAACCCAGACCGCCAGCUAAGGUCCCAAAGUCAUGGUUAAGUGGGAAACGAUGUGGGAAGGCUCAGACAGCCAGGAUGUUGGCUUAGAAGCAGCCAUCAUUUAAAGAAAGCGUAAUAGCUCACUGGUCGAGUCGGCCUGCGCGGAAGAUGUAACGGGGCUAAACCAUGCACCGAAGCUGCGGCAGCGACACUAUGUGUUGUUGGGUAGGGGAGCGUUCUGUAAGCCUGUGAAGGUGUGCUGUGAGGCAUGCUGGAGGUAUCAGAAGUGCGAAUGCUGACAUAAGUAACGAUAAAGCGGGUGAAAAGCCCGCUCGCCGGAAGACCAAGGGUUCCUGUCCAACGUUAAUCGGGGCAGGGUGAGUCGACCCCUAAGGCGAGGCCGAAAGGCGUAGUCGAUGGGAAACAGGUUAAUAUUCCUGUACUUGGUGUUACUGCGAAGGGGGGACGGAGAAGGCUAUGUUGGCCGGGCGACGGUUGUCCCGGUUUAAGCGUGUAGGCUGGUUUUCCAGGCAAAUCCGGAAAACCAAGGCUGAGGCGUGAUGACGAGGCACUACGGUGCUGAAGUGACAAAUGCCCUGCUUCCAGGAAAAGCCUCUAAGCAUCAGGUAACAUCAAAUCGUACCCCAAACCGACACAGGUGGUCAGGUAGAGAAUACCAAGGCGCUUGAGAGAACUCGGGUGAAGGAACUAGGCAAAAUGGUGCCGUAACUUCGGGAGAAGGCACGCUGAUAUGUAGGUGAAGCGACUUGCUCGUGGAGCUGAAAUCAGUCGAAGAUACCAGCUGGCUGCAACUGUUUAUUAAAAACACAGCACUGUGCAAACACGAAAGUGGACGUAUACGGUGUGACGCCUGCCCGGUGCCGGAAGGUUAAUUGAUGGGGUUAGCGGCAACGCGAAGCUCUUGAUCGAAGCCCCGGUAAACGGCGGCCGUAACUAUAACGGUCCUAAGGUAGCGAAAUUCCUUGUCGGGUAAGUUCCGACCUGCACGAAUGGCGUAAUGAUGGCCAGGCUGUCUCCACCCGAGACUCAGUGAAAUUGAACUCGCUGUGAAGAUGCAGUGUACCCGCGGCAAGACGGAAAGACCCCGUGAACCUUUACUAUAGCUUGACACUGAACAUUGAGCCUUGAUGUGUAGGAUAGGUGGGAGGCUUUGAAGUGUGGACGCCAGUCUGCAUGGAGCCGACCUUGAAAUACCACCCUUUAAUGUUUGAUGUUCUAACGUUGGCCCCUGAUCGGGGUUGCGGACAGUGUCUGGUGGGUAGUUUGACUGGGGCGGUCUCCUCCUAAAGAGUAACGGAGGAGCACGAAGGUUGGCUAAUCCUGGUCGGACAUCAGGAGGUUAGUGCAAUGGCAUAAGCCAGCUUGACUGCGAGCGUGACGGCGCGAGCAGGUGCGAAAGCAGGUCAUAGUGAUCCGGUGGUUCUGAAUGGAAGGGCCAUCGCUCAACGGAUAAAAGGUACUCCGGGGAUAACAGGCUGAUACCGCCCAAGAGUUCAUAUCGACGGCGGUGUUUGGCACCUCGAUGUCGGCUCAUCACAUCCUGGGGCUGAAGUAGGUCCCAAGGGUAUGGCUGUUCGCCAUUUAAAGUGGUACGCGAGCUGGGUUUAGAACGUCGUGAGACAGUUCGGUCCCUAUCUGCCGUGGGCGCUGGAGAACUGAGGGGGGCUGCUCCUAGUACGAGAGGACCGGAGUGGACGCAUCACUGGUGUUCGGGUUGUCAUGCCAAUGGCACUGCCCGGUAGCUAAAUGCGGAAGAGAUAAGUGCUGAAAGCAUCUAAGCACGAAACUUGC
rnacentral:rRNA from 1 species